AAUGAACGUUGGCGGCAUGGAUUAGGCAUGCAAGUCGAGCGAGAAGAGUCAUUUGCUUGCAUCUGACUUGGAAAGCGGCGUAAGGGUGAGUAACGCGUAGUUACCUACCUCCGGGUCCGGAAUAGCUGCGGGAAACUGCAGGUAAUGCCGGAUAACAUCUCAGGAUCAAAGGUGAGAUUCCGCCCGGAGAGGGGACCGCGUCCUACUAGCUUGUUGGUGGGGUAAUGGCCUACCAAGGCUUCGAUGGGUAGCGGGCGUGAGAGCGUGGCCCGUCACACUGGGACUGAGACACUGCCCAGACACCUACGGGUGGCUGCAGUCGAGAAUCUUCGGCAAUGGGCGAAAGCCUGACCGAGCAAUGCCGCGUGCGGGAUGAAGGCCCUCGGGUUGUAAACCGCGAAAGUAAGGAGGAAGGACCUGCGAAGAGCAGGUUUUGACCGAUCUACAGUAAGGACGGGCUAAGUUCGUGCCAGCCGCCGCAGUAAGAC
rnacentral:rRNA from 1 species